rnacentral:rRNA from 1 species
UGGGGAAUAUUGCACAAUGGGCGCAAGCCUGAUGCAGCCAUGCCGCGUGUGUGAAGAAGGCCUUCGGGUUGUAAAGCACUUUCAGCGAGGAGGAAGGUGGUGAACUUAAUACGUUCAUCAAUUGACGUUACUCGCAGAAGAAGCACCGGCUAACUCCGUGCCAGCAGCCGCGGUAAUACGGAGGGUGCAAGCGUUAAUCGGAAUUACUGGGCGUAAAGCGCACGCAGGCGGUUUGUUAAGUCAGAUGUGAAAUCCCCGGGCUCAACCUGGGAACUGCAUUUGAAACUGGCAAGCUAGAGUCUCGUAGAGGGGGGUAGAAUUCCAGGUGUAGCGGUGAAAUGCGUAGAGAUCUGGAGGAAUACCGGUGGCGAAGGCGGCCCCCUGGACGAAGACUGACGCUCAGGUGCGAAAGCGUGGGGAGCAAAACAGGAUUAGAUACCCUGGUAGUCCACGCUGUAAAACGAUGUCGAUUUUGGAGGUUGUGCCCUUGAGGCGUGGCUUCCGGAGCUAACGCGUUAAAGUCGACCGCCUGGGGAGUACGGCGCAAGGUUAAAACUCAAAGGAAUUGACGGGGUCAUAGCUG